rnacentral:rRNA from 1 species
GAUGAACGCUGGCGGCGUGCCUAAUACAUGCAAGUAGAACGCUGAAGGAAGGAGCUUGCUCUUUCCGGAUGAGUUGCGAACGGGUGAGUAACGCGUAGGUAACCUGCCUGGUAGCGGGGGAUAACUAUUGGAAACGAUAGCUAAUACCGCAUAACAGUAGAUGUUGCAUGAUAUCUACUUAAAAGGUGCAAUUGCACCACUACCAGAUGGACCUGCGUUGUAUUAGCUAGUUGGUGAGGUAACGGCUCACCAGGGCGACGAUACAUAGCCGACCUGAGAGGGUGAUCGGCCACACUGGGACUGAGACACGGCCCAGACUCCUACGGGAGGCAGCAGUAGGGAAUCUUCGGCAAUGGACGGAAGUCUGACCGAGCAACGCCGCGUGAGUGAAGAAGGUUUUCGGAUCGGAAAGCUCUGUUGUAAGAGAAGAACGAGUGUGAGAGUGGAAAGUUCACACUGUGACGGUAUCUUACCAGAAAGGGACGGCUAACUACGUG